rnacentral:misc_RNA from 1 species
UGACCACUCAAGCCUGGCUUGGUGUUGGGGUUCGCGGUCCCGCGGCUCUUAAAAUCAGUGGCGGCGCCAUCUGGCUCUAAGCGUAGUAAUCUUUCUCGCUACAGAGUCCCGGUGGAUGCUUGCCAGCAACCCUCUAUUUUCUUA